rnacentral:rRNA from 1 species
UACGUAGGUGGCAAGCGUUGUCCGGAAUUACUGGGCGUAAAGGGCUCGUAGGCGGCCCUCUCAGUCGGAUGUGAAAUCCCCAGGCUUAACCUGGGAAUGGCAUCCGAUACUGGAGGGCUUGAAUUCGGGAGAGGGAUGCAGAAUUCCAGGUGUAGCGGUGAAAUGCGUAGAUAUCUGGAGGAAUACCGGUGGCGAAGGCGGCAUCCUGGACCAUUACUGACGCUGAGGCGCGAAAGCUAGGGGAGCAAACGGG